rnacentral:rRNA from 1 species
GACGAACGCUGGCGGCGUGCUUAACACAUGCAAGUCGAACGGAAAGGCCCUGCUUUUGUGGGGUGCUCGAGUGGCGAACGGGUGAGUAACACGUGAGUAACCUGCCCUUGACUUUGGGAUAACUUCAGGAAACUGGGGCUAAUACCGGAUAGGAGCUCCUGCUGCAUGGUGGGGGUUGGAAAGUUUCGGCGGCUGGGGAUGGACUCGCGGCUUAUCAGCUUGUUGGUGGGGUAGUGGCUUACCAAGGCUUUGACGGGUAGCCGGCCUGCGAGGGUGACCGGCCACAUUGGGACUGAGAGACGGACCAGACUCCUACGGGAGGCAGCAGUGGGGAAUAUUGCACAAUGGGCGGAAGCCUGAUGCAGCAACGCCGCGUGCGGGAUGACGGCCUUCGGGGUGUAAACCGCUUUCGCCUGUGACGAAGCGUGAGUGACGGUAAUGGGUAAAGAAGCACCGGCUAACUACGUG